AUCUUCCAAUCAUCAAGGAUGUAUUGGAGAUUGCUAAUGUAUUAAACAGCAAAUGGAAGAGGCAAGUGGAAUUAAUGUACAUAAUCACCUAUGACAUUCUUUUCGGACAGGAUUCAUCUCUAACAGGAGAUCCAGAAAAGUACCUUAUUUUGAGGAAAAGUCAACUACAGUCAGCUCUUGCAAAGAUCUUAUUAAAGAUGGGAGCAAAACGUAUAGAAGAUUUAAUGUCCCAAUAUAAGAUUCCCGCAGAUGUUAAAAAACCUCGCUAUGUUCGUGUCAAUACUCUGAAAUUGGAUGUUGAAAC